rnacentral:rRNA from 1 species
AACGUAGGAGGCGAGCGUUAUCCGGAAUUACUGGGCGUAAAGGGCGUGUAGGCGGUUUUGUAUGUCUGGCGUGAAAGCCCCGGGCUCACCUCGGGAAGUGCGUUGGAAACUGCAAGACUAGAGUCCCGGAGAGGAAGGUGGAAUUCCAGGUGUAGCGGUGAAAUGCGUAGAUAUCUGGAAGAACACCGGUGGCGAAGGCGGCAUCCUGGACCGGCAUUGACGCUGAGGAGCGAAAGCCAGGGGAGCAAACGGG